AUAAAUGUCGGCUUGAUGACCAUUAAAAAGGGUGGUUUGAAGCCAUACCGUGGAAAAACUAUUUUCCUAACAACAGACCCUGACGCUACUGCCACAAGUCUGCUCAAUCAAGCUGUUAAAAAAAUGAAGGACUUUAACAAAGAUCUAAAAGAUGGACCUUUCCUUCUUCUGUAUCCGGAUGGCACUGAGGUCAUUACUGUCCCUGGAACACAAAGACCAUUUACACUUGAGGCUUAUAAGGCUGAAGUUGGCAAGCCUUAUCAAAGAAUCACUGUUUUCAUCUGCUUGAAGAGUGACUUUGAAGAUGUUGGAGAAAACUCAGACUUGUCUGACUCUGACCCAGAGAUUGUUAUUAAAAGGCCCUCUGAGUUUGAUCUUGCUGAUACACUGCCAUGGGAACUUCAACAUGACAGCAGUCCUUUACAGAAAGCAGCAGAAUAUGAGAAGGGUGCUGGGGAUCUUGUGCUUGCUAAUGAAGUACAACAGAGACACCAAUUUGCAGGCACAUGGAAUUAUUGCAAAUUUGGCACUGGAACUUGACCACAAGAAGGUCAGCAGGUUCAAUAUAUCAAGGUCAGCUGUAUGGGAUGGAGCUGUUAGAGGAUUUCGACGCAGCACAUACUCUGACAACUACGACAUGUUCAUCAAGUUUAAUGAUGAUGCUGGCAGCUUUGAAGAAGGUUUGGAUACAGGUGGCCCGAGGCGUGAAUUCCUCACACUUCUUAUGGGCAGUCUGCGAAAUCGCCCCAUCUUUGAUGGACCUCCAGAGAGCCGUUAUCUUGUAUAUAAUUCAAGAGGUGGAUGUUUUCUCCGUAAUUAUUACAAUGGAAAUUUUAAUAAAAAUUGGCGUAUUUUUUUUCAUUAG
rnacentral:lncRNA from 1 species